rnacentral:rRNA from 1 species
UUAAGCAUGCAAGUCGAGCGGGCUUAUUCGGGCAACUGGAUAAGUUAGCGGCGAACUGGUGAGUAACACGUAGGUAAUCUGCCGUGAAGUGGGGGAUAACCCAUGGAAACAUGGACUAAUACCGCAUAUACUCUUGCUACAUAAGUAGAGUAGAGGAAAGUUUUUUCGCUUCACGAUGAGCCUGCGGCCUAUUAGCCUGUU